rnacentral:rRNA from 1 species
UACAGAGGGUGCAAGCGUUAAUCGGAAUUACUGGGCGUAAAGCGCGCGCAGGCGGUUAAGUAAGUCGGGUGUGAAAUCCCCGGGCUCAACCUGGGAACUGCAUUCGAGACUGCUUGGCUAGGGUACGGUAGAGGAGGGUGGAAUUGCCAGUGUAGAGGUGAAAUUCGUAGAUAUUGGGAGGAACAUCAGUGGCGAAGGCGGCUCUCUGGUUCGAUACUGACGCUAAGGCGCGAAAGCGUGGGUAGCAAACAGG